GACGAACGCUGGCCCCGUGCCUAAUACAUGCAAGUUGAGCGCUGAAGGUUGGUACUUGUACCAACUGGAUGAGCAGCGAACGGGUGAGUAACGCGUGGGGAAUCUGCCUUUGAGCGGGGGACAACAUUUGGAAACGAAUGCUAAUACCGCAUAAAAACUUUAAACACAAGUUUUAAGUUUGAAAGAUGCAAUUGCAUCACUCAAAGAUGAUCCCGCGUUGUAUUAGCUAGUUGGUGAGGUAAAGGCUCACCAAGGCGAUGAUACAUAGCCGACCUGAGAGGGUGAUCGGCCACAUUGGGACUGAGACACGGCCCAAACUCCUACGGGAGGCAGCAGUAGGGAAUCUUCGGCAAUGGACGAAAGUCUGACCGAGCAACGCCGCGUGAGUGAAGAAGGUUUUCGGAUCGUAAAACUCUGUUGGUAGAGAAGAACGUUGGUGAGAGUGGAAAGCUCAUCAAGUGACGGUAACUACCCAGAAAGGGACGGCUAACUACGUG
rnacentral:rRNA from 1 species